rnacentral:lncRNA from 1 species
AGAAAGGAAAAUCAUGUACAGUAAUGGCUGUAGACACAGAGUUCUCCUACUUAAGAUCAGGGAGAGAUGAGAAGAGAAGCAGUUUUGCUGGAAAAGGGUCUGAGACACACACAGAUUGGUUGAUCUUUGUAAUUAAGAACCAGAGGACAGCUUGCUACAUUGAUGCUUAGUCCCUGGGACAAAAGUAGGACAGCAGAAUAGAUCAGAAAUUCUCCACACUAGGUGAAUCUUCUCACUUCAGAAACCGAAGACCUUCUCCGGGUGUUUUAUGGAACAACAACACAAAAAGAAUGGGACGACUUAUGCAAUGAAGAGGAAGAUAAGCCCACAUGUAAAACAAACAGCACUGAAUAUUCAGAUACAGAUACAUAGAGAGGACAAUACGAGGAACAUCUCUAAAUGCAUCAGUGGAACAGACUAAGUCCUCACACAAUUUCUGUACUAGUAUAACAAUCCAAGCACAGGGCUUCAGAAAUGUAGAGCAUUGCUACAGGAGUUUUAUAGCUGCACAGGCAAAGCACGUGCAAGACUAUCUAAUGGAUUCUGAGUUUCUGUUGUUGUUUUUAUGUAUACACCUGUAGAAAUCACUAAAAUGUAUGUAUUUGUUUUCAGGUUCAAAUAAAUAAAUGCUACAGAC